AUUGAACGCUGGCGGCAUGCUUUACACAUGCAAGUCGAACGGCAGCACGGACUUCGGUCUGGUGGCGAGUGGCGAACGGGUGAGUAAUACAUCGGAACGUACCCAGUAAUGGGGGAUAACUAUCCGAAAGGAUAGCUAAUACCGCAUACGCCCUACGGGGGAAAGAGGGGGAUCGCAAGACCUCUUGUUAUUGGAGCGGCCGAUGGCUGAUUAGCUAGUUGGUAGGGUAAAGGCCUACCAAGGCAAUGAUCAGUAGCGGGUCUUAGAGGACGAUCCGCCACACUGGAACUGAGACACGGUCCAGACUCCUACGGGAGGCAGCAGUGGGGAAUCUUGGAUAAUGGGCGCAAGCCUGAUCCAGCAAUGCCGCGUGCGUGAAGAAGGCCUUCGGGUUGUAAAGCGCUUUUGUCAGGGAGCAAAUCCUUGUGGCUAAUACCCACCGGGGAUGAGAGUACCUGAAGAAUAAGGACCGGCUAACUACGUGCCAGCAGCCGCAGUAAUAC
rnacentral:rRNA from 1 species